rnacentral:lncRNA from 1 species
GAUGGGUUUUCUUUUCUUUUCUUUUCCUUUUUUUUUUUUUUUUUUAUUAAGUGCCAGCUUUUCAUCUCUUGGUGAACGGGGUGAGCUUACCAUUGUCCUGGCCACACUGAGCCUGCCUCUGUUUCCCAUAGGGAGCUGAGAUCAACAUCUACUGCAGAGUGACAGAAAGCUGUGCCUCCAGUGGACUUUACCUGCAUUUUGUCCUGCCAUCUCUGCUAUGCAGAAAAUCCUGGCCACACCUGAGCCUAGGUCCAUGCGAUGGUCAGAUCCUGGAGGUGCUGAGAACUACAGGAGAGCACCACCACGCUGCUUAUGUGGUGCUGGGAAUUGAAGCCAGGACUCCCUGCAUGCCAGUCAUGUGCUGAUCUGCAGUCUACAAUCUUCACUAAGGCCCAGUCCUUUCUCAGAAUUCUACAUGAGGCAGCAGGAAGUCAAGGGACUUUAUAACUUGAUCGUACCAGAUGAUGGCAGUAGAGCUCCACACAAGUUCCCAGCCCUUCCUGGUGUUGGUCCCUGUUUCUUUGGUUCCUUCUGCCUUCUGAAUAAAGUGGAAGCACAGAAGUGGUCUCCAUUUAAGUUCACAAUGUAACUUAUGGAGAGAGAGUUUGCAGCAGUGAAGAACACGGAUUCUGCACUGGUCACAUCUUAGCUGUGACUUUUUGUUUCUUUAAAGUGUUGCUAAUAUUAUAUGUUUUAAAAGCUAACUGAAAAUAUUAGAAUAUAAAAAUAUACAAAUAGGUUGUGGUAAGAAAAUCAGCAUUACGGAAUUUCCCUGAUCAAUAAAUUAUACAAGUUAUUUGUUAAUUCUCCUGCUACCCAUGGCAAUUUAAAAGUCCACAAAAUUAAUCUCAAUAUUUCUUUUCCCAUGAACGAAAUACAAAUAAAAUAGGAAUGAGAGAGACAAUCUAGCAGACUCUCGUUUAACUCACUCACUGAUGCCUGUGGCUUCAGAGCAAGGACACAGUGGCACUAGUCUUUAGAACAGGAGAGACAUGUGCCAUCCCUUCUUCUGGAUGGGAUCGGGUAUGGUAUUGCAAAG